ACGCUCGACACCUACGGGAGCAGCAGUGAGGAAUAUUGGUCAAUGGGCGCUAGCCUGAACCAGCCAAGUAGCGUGAAGGAUGAAGGCUCUAUGGGUCGUAAACUUCUUUUAUAUAAGAAUAAAGUGCAGUAUGUAUACUGUUUUGUAUGUAUUAUAUGAAUAAGGAUCGGCUAACUCCGUGCCACAGCCGCCGGUAAGUACUUGAGCGGGCGUGGCGAAGGACG
rnacentral:rRNA from 1 species